UACAGAGGGGGCGAGCGUUGUUCGGAAUUACUGGGCGUAAAGGGCGCGUAGGCGGCCUUCUAAGUCGAACGUGAAAUCCCCGGGCUUAACCUGGGGGCUGCGUUUGAUACGUGCGGGCUUGAGUUCGGAAGAGGGUCGUGGAAUUCCCAGUGUAGAGGUGAAAUUCGUAGAUAUUGGGAAGAACACCGGUGGCGAAGGCGGCGACCUGGUCCGAUACUGACGCUGAGGCGCGAAAGCGUGGGGAGCAAACAGG
rnacentral:rRNA from 1 species